UGCUCUUAUUAUUCACAGCUGACAGAAGCAGAAACUGAGAUAGAGGCCACAUGCCCACCCCAGCUUACUCAGCUAAGUAGGUGGCAGAAGUGGGAUUUGAACCCUGGUUCCAUCCAAGAUAAGGCAUAAAACCCCUGGGAUGAGUCACUUACUGCAACAGAGCAUGAACCCAGGCUUGGAGUCCGGGCAGCAGAGACAAAACCACGAGAAAACAGAUAAGGAACGACACUGUCUUCCCACUGUCUGCAGAGACUCUCUCCCUUGGAACGAAAUGAAGCCAAAAAGUAGGAUAUGAUGUCACAACGGCCAUUUCACAACAGACAGGGGAAGAUAGUCAAACCAACACUGUAUGGGCCCCCCUCAAGGCAGAGGAUGUGAAGAAACAUCAGCUGAAUGCAGCGAUCUGCUCUUCCUUCUGGCCCAAGCUCCACAUCUCCUCGCUGACCACACUUUGAGUAGCAAGGCCAGAAACAACCUGGGGCCUGAACCCUACUAAGCCUGAUGUUCUUUCCAGAACAAGAAGGAACGCGGUGGGUUUGGGAGAAGGAGAGAUUGGACGUGGACUGCGGUGUGUCUCACUUGCACCCAUCAGGGGGCGGGAGGACGCAGCCACGUGCUACAGACGAUCCUGCCGUACAGGAUUACUUACAGGUCUCACCCAAGAGGCUCUCCCAUCCAGACCCAGAGAAAGUUCCAGAAGCUUCUUGACAUCGCUACCCUCUGUACCCUCAGGAAGACUAAAGAGCCUAGACCCCUUAGCCGCACUCAGGCUCUGCAAGUGGCCAGAGUGUGUGCGGGGCGGAUGUCAGUAUAAUUCCUCUGGACAUCCCCUCUCAGCUAAAAUCAGAGGCCCCAGACCUCUCAUUCAUUCAUUUAGUUGUUUUUUCACUUAGGCAUGCUCAGACCCCUGCCAGCAGCCAAAGGUGGUUACCUAAUAUUCUCCUCUUUUAUUUUUUAAACAAACAAUACUUUGCAGGAUUAAAAACCAUCAUUAUAAGAUUAUGACACAAAGUUGGGUUUCAUUAUAAGAUUAUGACACAAAGUUGGGUUUCGAAUUGGUCACUUUACUGGAUUGGAAGGGGAGGGGCAGGACGAGGCAGGUGAUGGGCCGGAGGCUGUAGGUGUGGCCACUGAGAGAGGUGAGGAGUGGAAGAGCAGGGAUGGAGGGUGGGAUCUGGGGGAAGGGUGAGGAGUGGGGGGAGGAGGAGGCAUCAAGACAAGGGCCAAGUAUCCAGCUCAAGGCCUGGGGCAUGGUGGGGCCGCUCCAGAGAUGGGGCAGGAGAAGAGGGCCACAGGCAUGGACCAGGUGAGAAGGAGGGGCUGGGGGUCGUCGCAGCGACAGCAUCCCUCAGGCAGGAGGGACUCCGGGCUGGAGUCUGCCCAGCUUCCAUUCCUCCCUCCAGACCCUCUCUCACUGACCCCCGGGCUGAGCAACCCCUUCACACUGGCUUCAGAGUUUGUGGGGGGCUUCACAGCCCUCAGCAAUUGGUUUGUCAAAUAAAGUAUAGGGCACUCACAUAAAUCAGAAUCUCAGAUAAACAACCAAUCAUUUUUUAUAGACAUAUAUCCCAAACACUGUCUGCAUUUCUUGUUUAUCUGAAGACCAAAGUUCACUGGGCAUCCUGGAUUUUUUUUUUUUUUUGGCUGUGUUGGGUCUUCAUUGCUGUGCACGGGCUUUCUGUAGUUGUGGCGAACGGGGGCUACUCUUUGUUGAGGUGCACGGGCUUCUCAUUGUGGCGGCUUCUCUUUGUUGCAUAGCAUGGGCUCUAGGUGCGCAGGCUUCAGUAGUUGUGGCACGCGGGCUCAGUAGUUGUGGCUCACGGGCUCAGUGGUUGUGUCUUGCGGGCUCUAGAGUGCAGGCUCAGUAGUUGUGGCACACGGGCUUAGUUGCUCCGCGGCACGUGGGAUCUUCCCAGACCAGGGAUCGAUCCCGUGUCCCCUGCAUUGGCAGGCGGAUUCUUAACCACUGCGCCACCAGGGAAGUCCCGCAUCCUGGAUUUUUAUUUGCUACAUCUGGCAGCCCUACUCAGUGAGAACACAAGUCCCUGAGCGCGAGUCCUCGGGUACCACGCGGGCUCUCCCGCUAACAGUGAUGCGUUAGCACCUUUGGAUAACAGAGGGGCCGCGGUGAGGGCGGAAGCCAGAGGAGCCUGGAGUGCCUCGUCCUGCUGGGAGCGGCCUGGAUGUGGUCGGGCCGAUCCUAUCAAGCGGCUCUCAUGAAAUUCUUUCCCUUUUCAGGCCUCAUCCCUAGAAACUCCCAGCUCCUCUGCUUGGCCCAUGGGCCUCCUUGUCCCCUUUUCUCCAGAGUCCCCAUGAGAUUCUAGUGACUCCAGGUUUCUGUGGGUCCCUCAUGCACUAUGCUCUUCCCAGAUCCGUGCCUUUAUCUGUACCUCUGCUCAGCCUGCAGCCACCUUCCCGCUUCUGGGCCUGGAAGCAGGAGCCCUGUCCUGUCAGUGUCUCCUCUGGACACUCUCACCAGGGGUUCUCUGCACUAUUGACAUUUGGGACCAACACUGUCUCAGCCCCCAAAAGCUCCACAGCAAACCCAGCCUCCCUCCAAUCUCCCCUCCCAACUGGGCAGCCACUGAGCCCCUGGGAGCAGCCCCACCCUUUUCCCUCCAAGCCCCUCCCCCUAGGGACACUCCUCAGACUAAGUGCUGCCACCCACAGACGACCACCUGAUCCUGCUCCCGGGUCCUCGGCCUCUGGGGGCCAGUGGGCAAGCCCACCCAGAGGCAGGCUU